ensembl:lncRNA histidine triad nucleotide-binding protein 3-like
CUAUUCUGGCGAAUGGUGCUUGUUUAAAAAAGUUGUGAGGUCGUUUAAUAAAGUUGAAGAAAAGGGCUUUUUCUGAGUGGCUGUCAAUAUAAUAUCAUAGAAUAACGUUACUGUAAGACAAAAACACGACCUAAUUUGUUAUGAAAUUUUUGGAUAAUUGUGCGAAUGGUUGCCUUUUUCUCUCAUGCGGCGAAAACUCAACAGGACGUGGCACUAGGCAAAAUAUUUGCUUUGAUUGAAACAAAACACAGUGGAGAGGAUGGAGGAGAUUGGAAAGAAUAUUGCAGAAGGAAGAAAAAGGAUGGGGUUCCACAUGCCCCCCUUCUCCUCAGUCCCUCACCUCCAUCUCCACGUCAUCGCUCCUGCCAGUCAGAUGAGCAUCAGGUCACUCAGUCACUAUGGGCCGCAAUCCUAUUGGUUCAUUACCGUGAGUGGAGCAGUAACCCCUCCCACUUCACCAUUGGGGGUUCUUCAUUUUUAUGUCUAUGUUUACCACAUUCAAAUGUGUCUUUGCUCUAUUGUAGAUGGACAGAAUGGUUCAGCAGCUGAGGACCCAUAACCAGGUCAAAUAAGAAUAUACCUGGUUUAGCAGGACACAACAGCACUGGGCUUCCAAGAUCCAUGUCACAACUCUGACAUGGCUGGCAGUGGCUGCAUUCCCGCCUUAUACUUGACAUGCACGGUCACUAAUCUGAAGGACUGGUUUAGUUCUAUUUAUGUUUUUACUAAGCCUCUGUAUUUUUGUAAGUUCUGAUGGGGUGUUACGAUAUGCAUUUAUUAUUAUACACUAAGGGAUAGUACACUAAGGGGGGGGGGGGGGCUUGUACAACUCAAGGUGUCAAAAACAACAAAAAAUGCACCGCUCUCCCCAAUGUAAAAAAUAUUUUCACUUGACACUCCCCUUGUACUGUAAAACAAAAAUUGCACACCCUCCCCCCUCAUAGAAUUAACUCUAAAGAAUGUUUACGACCAGAAAUAACAAUAACUGUAGUGACCUUGUGUUUAUAAACAUGGAUAUCGACUUUGCCCCUUCAUGCUUUUCUGGCACAGCCGAUGCCACGCAGGGCUACGGGCCAGAAGGUUAGGCUACCACCACGGACGAGCUCACUCUCCCUGUACAAAACAUUAAGAACACCUUCCUAAUAUUGAAUUGCCCUCAGAACAAUUCGUCGGGGCAUGGAUUCUACAAGGUCUCAAAAGCGUUCCACAAGGAUGGUGGCCCAUGUUGACUCCAAUGCUUCCCACAGUUGUGUCAAGUUGGCUGGAUGUGCAUUGGGUGGUGGACCAUUCUUGAUACACACGAGAAACUGUUGAGUGUGAAAAACCCAGCAGCAUUGCAGUUCUUGACACAAACCGGUGCGCCUGGCACCUACUACCAUACCCUGUUCAAAGGCACUUAAAUCUUCUGUCUUGCCCAUUCAUUCUCUGAAUGGCACACAUACACAAUCCAUGUCUCAAGGCUUACAAAUCCUUCUUUAACCUGUCUCAUCCCCUCCUACUUCAUCUACACUGAUUUGAAGUGGAUUUAACAACUGACAUCAAUAAGGGAUCAUAGCUUUCACCUGGAUUCGCCUAGUCAGUCUGUGUCAUGGAAAGAGCAGGUGUUCUUAAUGUUUUGUACAUUUUUGCAACAGGUUUCUGUGCCAAUACACCACACAACCAAUAAACAAAGCAUACCGACUUUGGGCACUUUAAUAUCAUGGUUUGCGUUUUCAACGCCACAAUAAAUCUCGACAAACAGAAAAUACAUCCCUGACUACCUGGUAGGCCUACCCAGUAUCGAAGGCUUGACUUGACAAUCUCAGAAUGGCAUUAAACUUUUUCAUCAAAUGGUUGCUACACAGUUUGGAUUGAUUCAUUUUAUUUGUCAGUAAAACAAAAUACAUACAGUACAAAGAUUUUUAAAAGGGACUGGGAUUGUGCAAUAAAGUUGGGGAGUUAUUUCCAUUGUGGUCCCUAUUUUAUAGAUAAAUGCAUAUACAAUUACAUAGAUAUAGACACAUUACAGAUAUCCAGACACAUUACAUAAUAGACACAUUACAUAAUACAGACACAUUACAGAAAUACAGAUAUACAGACACAUUACAG